UACGUAGGUGGCGAGCGUUGUCCGGAUUUACUGGGCGUAAAGGGAGCGUAGGCGGACUUUUAAGUGAGAUGUGAAAUACCCGGGCUCAACUUGGGUGCUGCAUUUCAAACUGGAAGUCUAGAGUGCAGGAGAGGAGAGUGGAAUUCCUAGUGUAGCGGUGAAAUGCGUAGAGAUUAGGAAGAACACCAGUGGCGAAGGCGAUUCUCUGGACUGUAACUGACGCUGAGGCUCGAAAGCGUUGGGAGCAAACAGGAUUAGAUACCCCCGUAGU
rnacentral:rRNA from 1 species